rnacentral:tRNA from 1 species
GCGGACGUAGCCAAGUGGACCAAGGCAAUGGAUUGUGAAUCCACCAAGAGUCACGAAAUCCAUUAAACCAUUAUAAUAAUGCAUUAUUUGUUUGCA